rnacentral:rRNA from 1 species
GGUCCUAAGGUAGCGAAAUUCCUUGUCGGGUAAGUUCCGACCCGCACGAAUGGCGUAACGAUUUCUCCACUGUCUCCAACAUCACUUCAGCGAAAUUGAAUUCCCCGUGCAGAUGCGGGGUACCCGCGGUUAGACGAAGAGACCCCGUGCACCUUUACUAUAGCUUUACAUUGCUAUUAAAAGUGUGAUGUGCAGGAUAGGUGGGAGACUUUGAAGUUAUGGCGCUAGCUAUAAUGGAGUCAACCUUGAGAUACCACCCUUUACACUUUUGAUAUCUAACUAUGUUUCAUUAUCUGGAACUAGGACAUUGUAUGGUGGGUAGUUUGACUGGGGCGGUCGCCUCCUAAAAAGUAACGGAGGCGUGCGAAGGUAAGCUAGAGCUGGUCGGAAAUCAGCUUGAUAGUAUAAUGGCAUAAGCUUGCCUGACUGCGAGGCUGACAAGCCAAGCAGAGACGAAAGUCGGUCAUAGUGAUCCGGUGAUUCUGUAUGGAAGGGUCAUCGCUCAACGGAUAAAAGGUACGCCGGGGAUAACAGGCUGAUGGUGUUCGAGCGUUCAUAGCGACGACACCGUUUGGCACCUCGAUGUCGACUCAUCACAUCCUGGGGCUGAAGAAGGUCCCAAGGGUUCGGCUGUUCGCCGAUUAAAGUGAUACGUGAGUUGGGUUUAGAACGUCGUGAGACAGUUCGGUUUCUAUCUGCCGUGGGUGAAGGAAAUUUGAGAAGGUCUGACUCUAGUACGAGAGGACCGAGAUGGAUAUACCUCUGGUGUACCAGCUGUUAUGCCAAUAGCAUCGCUGGGUGGCUAUGUAUAGAUGGGAUAAUUGCUGAAAGCAUAUAAGCAAGAAACCCUCUUCAAAAAGAUUUCCCAAUUAAGGCCGUGGAAGACUACCACGUUGAUAGGCUAGGUGUGGAAGCAUGGUAACAUGUGAAGCUAACUAGUACUAAUAGCCUGAUUGAUUUAUUUGCUUUC